AGUGAAACCAUGAUUCUCCUCCCAACUUUUUCUUCCAUUACAAAGAACAAAACUUUAUUUCACUUUUUUUGGCCCUUCCCUUUCGACUGUUAUAUAUGAUACAAUCAUCCUAUAAUGAUAAUGAUUAAGAUGAUGAAUUGCAUAAAUGAUUCUAAAAAUCAUGAGUCAUGACAAUGGUGAUGCACAAACAACUCGAUGCUGAGAAGCAAUAAGAGUAUAGGGACCUCAAUUCAUUUCAG